GGGGCCACCAAAGCGGAACAGCGCAGACGGUGCCUGCCGCCUCCCCUGGCGCUGGGCGUCGGGGUCAAGUCACCUCCCGGAGCCCCGCGCGGGGCACGGGUGGGGACUCGGGGGGCCCAGCCAUCCCCAGCAGCAGCGCCCCGAGUCCCCGCCCGCCUGCCGGCUCCUCACCUAUCAGAUUUCCUGUGCGCACCGCGCGCCGCUCCUCCCACCUCCUAAAGGCCAGCGCAGGGGACCGCCGCGCUCCGUCAGGACCCAGCUACUCAAGGGACGGCGCAAUGCGGCUCUGAGCUCGGGCAUCGGUACGGCCCCGCGCAGGGAGUGCGGGGCGCGCGGGCUUCCCAAGGCAGAGAAUCAUCACUUUCUGGCAAAUAAACCAAGCCCAAGACCUAAUUGUGCUGAAUGUCAUAUGACCUAAUUGUGCUGAAUGUCAUAUGCUGACAGCUCUUGGAAUCCACCCUUUGGCUUAGCUUUCAAACAAGAGGUUCAUCUUACCCAGGAAAAGGGUGAGUUAUUUGCUUUCUUAAUGUUAUAAUGCUGACAUGGAUGAUCCUGGAUUUGUGGAGAAUAAAAGAGAUAGGUGAGCAAAAGAACAUGCGUGCAUGUAAAGUCGCUUUAGUCGUGUCUGACUCUGUGGGACCAUAUGGAUUUUAGCCUGCCAGACUUCUCUGUCCAUUGGAUU
rnacentral:lncRNA from 1 species